CCAAGACAGGUCCUGGAAAAGUUGUUAGAUUUUGAAGAUAAAGAAUUGUUACAAAAAGUUAAAAAAAAGAAAAGAAAAAAAAUUGGCUGGAUCCAGACUUUUCACAGAAUCUUUUUUUAAAAUUAAAACAUUUUUAAUAAAUAUUUACUUUUUUAUCUUUUGGCCAUGCCAUAUGGCGUGUGGGAUCUUAGUUCCCUGACCAGGAUUGAAUCUCCGGCACUGGCAGCAUGAAGCCUUAACCCCUGGACCACCAGGGAAGUCUCUCUACAGUAUCUUUUAGAAGAUUAUAAAUCACUAGCAACCUGGAAGUUCCUCAAGGAAAGAAAGAGCUCCCGUAUGACUUGGUGCAGCACUAUCAGGAGUCCUUCCUGCGGAAAUUGCUAGAAAACACAUUUUAACUGACUACGACUAGGUUAAUACCAGCGACAGGACUGGAGGGAUAGCAACGGAAAGCCCUGGAGGUAGAAUGAAGUGAGCUGGAUCAAGCAGGCUCUGUAGUACCUGGGAGA